GUGUUGUAUAAAAGGUGACUGUUCGUUAGCAUUUCCUUUGACACAGAUGGAAAAGGCUCUUGGGCCUUACAAAAAAAAUUGAUGAUUAAGGCAUUGCUAUUUACUUAUGGUAAUAUUUUGGGGAGAGC
rnacentral:ncRNA from 1 species